rnacentral:tRNA from 1 species
UCCCUGGUGGUCCAGUGGUCAGGACUCCGAGCUUUCAUUGGAGGGAACCUAGGUUCAAUCCCUGGUCAGGGAG